rnacentral:rRNA from 1 species
UCAAUAAGCGGAGGAAAAGAAACUAACAAGGAUUCCCCUAGUAACGGCGAGUGAACCGGGAAGAGCUCAAAUUUGUAAUCUGGCGUCCUCCGGGCGUCCGAGUUGUAAUCUAUAGAAGUGUUUUCCGUGCCGGACCGUGUCCAAGUCCCUUGGAACAGGGUAUCAAAGAGGGUGACAAUCCCGUGCUUGACACGACGACCGGUGCUCUGUGAUACACUUUCUACGAGUCGAGUUGUUUGGGAAUGCAGCUCAAAAUGGGUGGUAAAUUCCAUCUAAAGCUAAAUAUUGGCGAGAGACCGAUAGCGAACAAGUACCGUGAGGGAAAGAUGAAAAGCACUUUGGAAAGAGAGUUAAACAGUAUGUGAAAUUGUUGAAAGGGAAACGAUUGAAGUCAGUCGUGUCUUGAGAAUUCAGCUGGUUCUGCCAGUGUACUUUCUCUUGACGGGUCAACAUCAGUUUUGACCGGCGGAUAAGGAUGGUGGGAAGGUGGCACCCUCGGGUGUGUUAUAGCCCAUUAUUGCAUACGUCGGUCGAGACUGAGGAAUGCAGCUCGCCUUUUGGCCGGGGUUCGCCCACGUUCGAGCUUAGGAUGUUGACAUAAUGGCUUUAAACGACCCGUCUUGAAACAC